rnacentral:misc_RNA from 1 species
UGAAUAGCGUUUAGAGUUGCCAUCUAUUGCGAGGCUUCCAUGUGUGUGGCGAUUACUCAGAACCGGCCUGUUUCGCUUUCAAUUCGUUUUAAGGCAGCCAAAAAAAGAGCCAUCUAACCAUAUUAAUCCCCAACUUGACCGUUCACUUAAAUACAAUCCUAAGUAAGUGGAUAUAAUCACUGGCUUGCAUCCGCGCGUUUUCUGACAGGUGGGGAAGGUUGCAGCAGAGACAAAGGUGAAUCGCGCAAAGCAACAGAAAAAAUUGCUCUCGGACAAUUGUCAAAAAUUACGCAAAAUUCCCACACAUACACCCAUACCUGACAUCCCCCGCCCGACCCGACCGAUUGCCUGGCCUCUCUAGACGUCUGCACGAAAUAGAAAGUAAUAAAGAAACAAAAAAAGAACGCAAAAUGACUUCCGAUAUAACGCUGCAGUUGAUUGCUAUUUUGGAGAAGACAGUGUCGCCAGACAAAAAUGAACUCUUGUCGGCAAAGAACUUCUUGGAACAGGCAGCCGCCAGCAAUCUGCCGGAGUUCCUUAAGGCACUGUCGGAGAUUUUGGUCAAUACGACAAACAGCGCCGUGGCACGCAUGGCCGCUGGUCUUCAGCUCAAAAAUCACUUGACCAGCAAAGAUGAGAAUGUACGGCAACAGCAUCAGGAGCGUUGGCAUCAGUUCCCCACCGAGAUCCGGGAACUGAUCAAGAACAAUAUUCUUAAUGCCUUGGGUACUGAGAAUACGCGUCCCUCUUGUGCCGCGCAGUGCGUGGCCUAUGUGGCUGUCAUAGAGCUGCCCAUCAAUCGCUGGGGCAUGGUCAUCCAGACCCUGGUCAACAAGGUGGUCAGCGAAGGAUCGAGCGAAAUGCAUCGCGAGUCUGCCCUUGAGGCCAUUGGCUACAUUUGCCAGGACAUACGCUUUGGCGUGAUGGAGAAUCAAUCGAAUCAGGUGCUCACGGCCAUCAUUCAUGGCAUGCGCAAGGUCGAGCCAAGCAACCAUGUCCGUCUGGCCGCCACCACGGCUCUGCACAACUCGCUCGAGUUCACCAAGGCCAAUUUUGAGAAGGACAUGGAGCGCAACUUCAUCAUGGAGGUGGUCUGCGAGGCCACCCAGUCCACGGACACUCAGAUCUGUGUGGCUGCCCUUCAGUGUCUGGUGAAGAUUAUGACACUGUACUAUCAGUUCAUGGAGCCCUAUAUGGCUCAGGCCCUCUUCCCCAUAACGCUGGAGGCCAUGAAGUCGGAGAACGAUGCCGUUGCCCUUCAGGGCAUUGAGUUCUGGUCCAACGUCUGCGAUGAGGAGAUCGAUCUGGCCAUCGAGAGCCAGGAGGCCACCGAUCAGGGUCGUGCCCCAGCGCGUGUGUCCAAGCAUUAUGCACGCGGUGCUCUGCAGUUCCUUACGCCUGUACUGGUUGACAAGCUAACCAAACAGGAUGAGUGCGAUGAUGAGGAUACCUGGAGUCCGGCCAAGGCUUCGUCGGUGUGCCUCAUAGUGCUGGCCACUUGUUGCGAGGACGAAAUAGUGCCCCAUGUGUUGCCGUUCAUCCAGGAGAACAUUGAAUCGCAGAACUGGCGCUUCAGAGAUGCCGCCGUCAUGACCUUUGGCUCUGUGCUCAGUGGACUGGAGACCAAUACGCUGAAGCCUUUGGUGGAGCAGGCCAUGCCCACGCUGAUACGUUUGAUGUAUGAUUCUAGUGUCAUUGUGCGUGAUACCACAGCCUGGACUUUUGGACGCAUUUGCGAUAUCAUUCCAGAGGCUGCCAUCGACAAGACCUAUCUACAGCCGCUGCUCGAGUGCUUUGUAAAGAGCUUGAAGUCGGAGCCUCGUGUGGCCGCCAAUGUUUGCUGGGCAUUCAUUGGCCUCUCCGAUGCCGCCUACGAUGCGGCCUCCACCGGAGAGCGCGAGCGCGAGACACCCGAGACGUACGCGCUGUCGCCGUACUUUGAGUUUAUUAUCACACAGCUGCUGGAGACCACCGAUCGUUCGGAUGGGGCCCAAGCCAAUCUGCGUGGAGCUGCCUAUGAGGCUCUCAUGGAUAUGAUCAAGAAUUCGCCCCUCGAUUGCUAUCUGGUGGUGCAGCGCACUACCAUUGUGAUUCUGGAGCGUUUGAACCAAGUCAUGCAGAUGGAGUCGCACAUCAGCAAUCACAGCGAUCGCCAUCAGUUUAACGAUCUGCAGUCGCUGCUCUGCGCCACGCUGCAGAGUGUCCUGCGAAAGGUGCACGAAGAGGAUGCCCCACAGAUAUCCGAUGCCAUCAUGAAUGCCCUGUUCAUGAUGUUCCAGUCAAGUGCUGGCAAAUCGGGAGGUGUGCAGGAGGAUGCCUACCUAGCCGUGUCUACACUGGUGGAGCUUUUGGGCGUACAGUUUAUGAAGUACAUGCCGGCCUUCAAGGAUGUCCUAAUCAUGGGCCUCAAGAACCAUCAGGAGUAUCAGGUAUGCUGUGCCACUGUCGGCCUCACCGGCGAUAUUUGCCGCGCCCUCAAGGAGCAGAUGGUCCCUUAUUGCGAUGAGAUUAUGUCCGUAAUGAUGACCAAUCUGGCGGAGCCCACGCUGCAUCGCACUGUCAAGCCGCAGAUACUCACGGUCUUUGGCGAUAUGGCUCUCAGUAUUGGAAGCCAUUUCCUGAAGUAUCUGAACGUGGUGUUGGAAAUGCUGCGUGCCGCUUCCAAUCUUCAGACGGAUGCCAGCAACUUUGACAUGAACGAGUACAUUGCCCACCUGCGCGAGAGUGUUCUCGAGGCAUAUACAGGCAUCAUUCAGGGCCUCAAGGGUCUCGAUCAGACAGCCCAUCCCGAUGUGAUGCACAUGGAGCCGCAUCUGAUGCACAUUAUUGGCUUCAUCAAGCGCAUUGCCCAGGAUGGCGAAGUAUCCGACUCGAUGAUGGCCAGUGCUGCUGGUUUCAUUGGCGAUCUGUGCACUUCCUUCGGACCCCGUCUUCACACGCUAUUGGACGAUGUCGUAAUCACACAAUUCCUGUCCGAGGGCAAGCGCUCCAAGGGUCAGCGCACGAAAAUGUUGUGCUCGUGGGCCCUGAAGGAGAUCAAGAAGAUCAAUAGCCAAGUCAUCACACAGUGAACGUCUAACUAGAGGUUAAUGUUUCCAACAAUACCCACAAUACAAGAAUGAACUGCUAUGAAUGAUAGAUUAUGAAUUAUGAUCAAGAUAAAGUAUGAUGAAGAAUGGUGAUGUAUGUCUAUGUCUGCCUCUUGAAUGACUUUUGGAUGAUUCUGAAUCUAUUGAAGAUGAGCCUCAGCCUGAGCUGAGCGAAGGCCGCCGACGAGAGGAUCUUGCACUUUAUGGCUGUGGUAAACAAAAUGUGUGUUGAUUAAGUAUGACUUGAUGAGUACUUGAGAUGAUAAAUGAUGCUUGUGCGUGCGUUGUAUGAUGAAGAAUUGAUGAUGAGAAUUAUGUGAUGAUUGACAAAUGGUUGUUAUGCAAAAGUAGUGUUGGGAAAGAGAAAGAGUUUCGAGUGAAUGGAUGGUACAUCACACCCAGUACUAGAGAAGCACUCAUCUAGCACAAAUUUCUAACUUUUAUACAUUACAUAUUAAAUCUACAUGCCUGUGCAUAUGUAUAGAUCUAUUAUAAUGUAAGAACGUGUGUGCCCGCAACUGUGACUGAGUAUUUCUGUAUGUUAUCAUUCCAAAAACGAAAAAAACAACAAAAAAAACCCAAAAACCGAAACCUCUUCAGAAUUUCAAGAAGCUUGUAAAAUUUUGAUUUUCCCUCAUUAGGCUUAAAACAUAUAAGCUAAGAUAAAAGUUAAAUGAGGGUUAAGAUGCCAGGCUGCUCCAAUUUUUUUGUUUGGAGAAUGGACAUUUUAGCCGUUUUAUUAAAUGUGUGAAUAGGGUGUAGGUCGCGUCGUCUGUUCUACAAAAAAAUGCCAAUUGUGCUACAACUAUAACUGUAAACAUUGCCUGUGAUUUGAUAAACUGUGUAUGCUAAGAAUGUGUGUGUGCAUGUUCGUGUGCGUGUACGGGUAUGAUAUUGUGUGCAAGUAUUGAAGUAAAUAAAAAAAGCACCACGCGCAGCAGAGCAAAGUGAAAUGUAAAGAAAUUAUGAUAUUUUUAAUGUAAAAACAUAAACUAAUACUAAUAAACUGUACACAACGGUAAUUGUAAACGAAACGAAAACAAAAAAAAA